UACGAACUGUGCGAACGUUAUUCGGAAUCACUGGGCUUAAAGGGUGCGUAGGCGGCCUUCUAAGUAGGGUGUGAAAGCUCUCGGCUCAACCGAGGAAUUGCGCUCUAAACUAGCUGGCUUGAGUGAGAUAGGGGUGUGCGGAACUUCCAGUGGAGCGGUGAAAUGUGUUGAUAUUGCAAGGAACGCCGGUGGCGAAAGCGGCACACUGGGUCUUAACUGACGCUGAGGCACGAAAGCCAGGGUAGCGAACGGG
rnacentral:rRNA from 1 species